AAUUGUUCUGGAAAUUAAAUUAAAAAUCAUUCUAAUGGAUAUGACCAUUUGGGAAAAUUGUUGAGCAGCAGCUACUAAAGUUGAAUGUAUAUGUGCAUUAUGAACAUGGCUAGCUAUGCAACAAAAGUCUGUUCACAUUUCACCAAAAGAUGUGUACUAGAAUGCUCACAGAAGGCCUUUUUGAAAUAGCCCCAAAUUAGAAAGCACCCAAGUGCUUGGCAGCAAUGGAAUGAAUAAAUCAACUGGAAUACUCACACUGACUAUGUGAUAUAUAUGUGAUAUAUGUGAUAUAUUCAUCCACUGGAAUACUAUACAGCCCUCAAAAUAGAUGAGCAACAGCUGCAGAGAGUACAGAUGAAUCUUCAGAGCAUAAUGUUGAAUAAAAGAUAAACAGAGGUAAUGCACAGACCAGAGAAAGACGAUGCACUGCAUCUGUGUAUUUACAGAAACAGGCAGUGCUAACCUGUGGUGUUAGAAGUCAGGAUACUGGUUGUCCUCGGUUGAUGGUGGUGAUAAGAAUGGCUUUGGGGAGUCAUGGUAAUGAUGAUCCUGUUUCUUGAUGUGAAGUAAUGGUUACAUGGGUAUGUUUGUGAAAAUUCAAUGAGCUGUACUGUCAUGAAAUGUGCAUUUUUCUUUUGUAUAUUUUUGAUUGCAACACAAAGUUAAAAUUUAUAAAGGCAAAAACACAUAAAACCCAACCCAAGAGAAUCCCUGGCCUCACUCAGUGGAUUAAGGAUCCGGUGUUGCUGUGAGCUGUGGUGUAGGUUGCAGAGGAGGCUCAGAUCCCACGUUGCUGUGGCUGUGGUGUAGGCUGGCAGCUGUAGCUCUGAUUUGACCCCCAGCCUGGGAACUUUCAUAUGCCGUAGGUGUGGCCCUAAAAAAAAAAAUAAGCAGAAUGCAUUAGCUCAGCAUCUCUAUGAGGAGGGGGAAACUAGGUUUGGAGGCUCCGCAUCCAGGAACAUGUCGCAGAUGCUGCUGAAGUGGUCUGAUGACAUUGCUUCUAACCACUGGGCAUGUCCAUCAUCGCCUACACCGCUGAUGCUGGGUCAGGAGGCUGCAACAGAACCACUGCCUCUCCGAGCCCAUCAUCACUCCUGCUGCUGCUCUUACCCAUCCUCUCUGGAGUGGGUUUCUCAGGAUUUGUGCUACUUUGUAUUACUGCCUCAGGCUCAAAGUCAGGCAUGGGUGGGACUGAUGAGGGGAGCCUCAGCUCAUUGGUCUUGCCCUACACGUGAGGGAGGCCGGGGAAAGAAGGACUAGGCAUUUUCAGCUUCAGUAGCAGGUGUCAGGCUCCCGGGGCAUUCCCCAAGCUCAGGAGAUUGACAAAUGUCUAUAGGCAAGAUGGCCUGCUGGAUAAUGGCCAGCUGGAUCUCUUAGCUGCCAGUGACGAGCGCUUUCAGUGUGACUGUGUGCAUCUUGCUGGACCAGAUCUUGCUGGAUUUCACAAAGAGAAAUCUUUUCUUUCUUGUCACAACCCAAAAGUUCCCAGGUGGCAUGGAAGGGGACAUUCAGUCCCAGUGCCUUGAAGAGGCAGGAUGGAAGUGAAGAUACUAACUAGGAAUCUUGAAGCAAAGCUUCUCCCGGAAAUCCUAGGGCUCGGGCGGGUCCCAGAGUCAGAACAGUCAGCUCUGCAAAGAGAUAUGUUGGCAGGAUACUUGAAGGGCACCUGGUUCAGCCUUCCACCCACUGCAGGAAUUUUCUUUGUUUAUUUGGUGACAUUUCAUUGUGCCCACAUUUUCUUCUUGUUUAAAAAAUCAAUUUGUGUAUCCUCAUUCUUAUCCAUAGCGAAAAAAAAAAAAAAAAAGGCUAUUUCUUCUGGGGCCAUAACUGGGAAUAUGUCUGGCUGGGUGUUGUUUCAGGUUGAUGUGAUUGCUUCUCUGUACUUGGGUGUUUUUCUUACGACUUUCUUAGGCAAAAUCACCUACACUUACUAAGCAUCAAUUUCCUGAGCCGUACACUGAGCGUAAUAACAUUGCGGGUGAAGCAUGAGUAGCUGUUAAAUUGGUAGUAAAAACGAAUGGGUUAAUGAGCUGUACCCUGGAGAGUCUGGAGAUAAAAUGUAUUUGGAGAUAACGUAUGAAAGCACUUAGCGCUGUGAAGGGUUUGUUGUAAACAGCCAGUAAAGGAUAAUAACAAUGGUUCUUGUUGUUCUGGCUGUUUACGGAUGCAGAAUAUGUGCUCUCCUCUCAGGUACUAGGGUAAUAGAUGGGUGAAUGACCCACUGGGAGAACCCCCGCCCCUUUGCCCUAAGAAUCUUCCUCUCUUGGCCCCCCCACAACUCCCCAGCCAAAGAUCCGUUAUACCGAUGAGGAAACCUGGUGUUUGUUCCUAAACGCUCCGGUCAGAACAAAGCAGCUCAAAGAUGGAUGGCACAAGGAGUGUGCCCACGGAGCCACGCCAGGCAGGUGCCACUGAAAUCUCUGAUGGCUGCAAAGGGUGCCUUUCCAGGAGGAUCCCUCUGCAAGCUCCAUCUCACCAGAGCAACAGGAGACGGGCAGUUCUGUCGAUGCGUGUCAGUAAAUGCCGUACCCCUGUGCUCCUUUGCACCUCCAUCAUGUAAGGUCCCAUGUAUGGAAACUGCCUGAUGCCCCCUUAGCUCUGUAGUAACCGUCCUGACACUUGCACUCUGGGCAGAGCUGGGAGAAACACCCAGCUGGGUUCUCCAUCUGCAGCGCCAGCUCCGCCGGCUGGAAGGAGAAAUGGCCUCUGUCCUGGCAGCUUGCUGACCAGCCUGCUGUGCCGAAGCUGGCGGAUCCCAUGGCCCUGGGAUAAACAGGAUGGAAGGAAGGCAGGGCGCUUGAGGAGCACCGCGUGUUGCCAGCCUUCCUCUCGGUCGUGUCUCCUGUCCCCUGGCAUAUGCCUCACUCCGGGCAGCCUGAUGGGAGAGGAGCCCCCUGUUUCCAGGGACAGGACAGGAAGAUGGCUCCCUGGAAGGGAAGGCUUUGCCAGCAGCCCUGUACACCUGAGCCGGGCCCAGCAGGGAAAGCUCCAGGACUGCAAGAGGUUAAAACUUGCCCCUGUGUUUACUUUUGUUGGCUGCCACACUGCAUAAUAAUCUGUCAGCACGUCAGGUGCGGAUUUAUUUGUGUAUUAAAAAUUGCCUAGAGCGGACGGAUGCAGACGCUCUACAGCGCGCUGGAAAAUGUGCCUCCAGCACAAAAACAGCCUCUCCAAAUAUUUCACCCUUUUAAUAAGUGCAUUUAAUUAAAGUCAUAUAACUUUUUUUAUUAUAUU
rnacentral:lncRNA from 1 species